rnacentral:rRNA from 1 species
GAAUUGACGGGGCCCGCACAAGCGGAGGAACAUGUGGUUUAAUUCGAUGAUACGCGAGGAACCUUACCUGGGCUUAAAUGUAGAGUGCAUUUUUUAGAGAUAGAAAUUCCCUUCGGGGCUUUCUGCAAGGUGCUGCAUGGUUGUCGUCAGCUCGUGCCGUGAGGUGUCGGGUUAAGUCCCAUAACGAGCGCAACCCUUAUCGUUAGUUGCCAGCGGGUAAAGCCGGGAACUCUAGCGAAACUGCCGGUGUAAACCGAGAGGAAGGUGGGAUGACGUCAAAUCAGCACGGCCCUUAUGUCCAGGGCUACACACGUGUUACAAUGGCCGGUACAGAGGGCAGCUACCUGGAGACAGGAUGCGAAUCUCGAAAGCCGGUCUCAGUUCGGAUCGGAGUCUGCAACUCGACUCCGUGAAGCUGGAUUCGCUAGUAAUCGCGCAUCAGCCAUGGCGCGGUGAAUACGUUCCCGGGCCUU